rnacentral:rRNA from 1 species
AGAGUUUGAUCAUGGCUCAGAACGAACGCUGGCGGCGUGCUUAACACAUGCAAGUCGAGUGCGCGGUUGUAGCAAUGCAACUGGCGCACGGCGCACGGGUGCGUAACACGUGGGUAACCUGCCCUUUGGUGGGGAAUAACUCCGCGAAAGCGGAGCUAAUUCCGCAUAAGAUCCGCAAGGAUGAAAGCCGCAAGGCGCCGAAGGAGGGGCCCGCGCCCGAUUAGCUAGUUGGUGAGGUAAUGGCUCACCAAGGCUUUGAUCGGUAGCUGGUCUGAGAGGAUGAUCAGCCACACUGGAACUGAGACACGGUCCAGACUCCUACGGGAGGCAGCAGUGGGGAAUCUUGCACAAUGGGCGAAAGCCUGAUGCAGCGACGCCGCGUGGGGGGAUGAAGCAUUUCGGUGUGUAAACCCCUUUCGAUCCGGACGAAACCCCGCAAGGGAUUGACGGUACGGAUAUAAGAAGCCCCGGCUAACUACGUGCCAGCAGCCGCGGUAAGACGUAGGGGGCCAGCGUUGUUCGGAAUUACUGGGNNNAAAGGGUUCGUAGGCGGGCGGCAAGUUGGGAGUGAAAUCUCUGGGCUUAACCCAGAGGCUGCUCCAAAACUGCUGUGCUUGAGUGUGGGAGAGGCGCGUGGAAUUGCAGGUGUAGCGGUGAAAUGCGUAGAUAUCUGCAGGAACACCGUGGCGAAAGCGGCGCGCUGGACCACUACUGACGCUGAGGAACGAAAGCUAGGGGAGCAAACAGGAUUAGAUACCCNNGUAGUCC